rnacentral:rRNA from 1 species
CCUACGGGAUGCUGCAGUGGGGAAUAUUGGACAAUGGGCGAAAGCCUGAUCCAGCCAUGCCGCGUGUGUGAAGAAGGCCUUCGGGUUGUAAAGCACUUUCAGUGGGGAAGAAAGCCUUGGGGCUAAUACCCUCGAGGAAGGACAUCACCCACAGAAGAAGCACCGGCUAACUCCGUGCCAGCAGCCGCGGUAAUACGGAGGGUGCGAGCGUUAAUCGGAAUUACUGGGCGUAAAGCGCGCGUAGGCGGUCUGAUAAGCCGGUUGUGAAAGCCCCGGGCUCAACCUGGGAACGGCAUCCGGAACUGUCAGGCUAGAGUGCAGGAGAGGAAGGUAGAAUUCCCGGGGUAGCGGUGAAAUGCGUAGAGAUCGGGAAGAAUACCAGUGGCGAAGGCGGCCUUCUGGACUGACACUGACGCUGAGGUGCGAAAGCGUGGGUAGCAAACAGGAUUAGAUACCCGAGUAGUC